AUUCCUAUUCAAAUAUCCGUAGUUUCCAUUGAUAAAGCAAUAAAUAUUAACAUCAAUUUCCUUAGCUAUUGUUAUUAAUAUUAUUUAUCAAACAAACAUCCAACUUUAUUCAAUUGGUGUUAUAAAUUUUGUAUCUUUGCCAUCAUCAUUAAUAUUAUUUACAAUUAUCUAUUGACCUUAAAGAUACUUAAUGAUACAAGCCAGUCAUCUCAUAUUUACCUUUUUUCAGGGUUUAUUAUAAAAUGGGAUUAAGCUUUUUCAUCUUCCAGAUUAUUGACAUUAUUUUGUGUGACAAUUAUUUAGCAACAACAAUUUCAUCGUCAUAAUCAUUAUCAUUGUGAUCACCUUAUUUUUAACACUUCCUUUCCUAUUAUCAUUAUUAUUCAACUUGUAAUUUAUUCUUUCCUUACCUUUUGUGUUAUCAUCCAUUUUCAUUUUUAAUCCCUUAUGUUCACAAUUUUUUAUUUUACUUUGUCCCUAAUUUUGUAUCUUUUUGUGUGUUGUUGGGUCAAAGAUAUCUUCCUUUUAUCAUUGUCUUCAUUUAAACUAAAGCUCAUCCUUUUUCAAACAAACUUCAUCUUUAACUGUCACCAUCUCUUUUAAUCAUCAUCAACACCAACAUUGGAAAGCUCAUCCGUCCAUCCCAUUAGAUUAGCUUAAACAUUUCAUUUCUGUUUAACCAACAAACCUUUUAUUUUCAUCUAUUUUUUUCUUCUUCUUUCUGCACUUCUAUUUUAUUUACAAUGUUAAUGAUAAACGCAAUAACCAAUAGCUUUUUUUAUUGACCGUAAAUCAAAUACUGUCUUCUUUCUUUGUGUAUUUGUGUGUGACAAAACAAAAGUCAAUAUAAAGUGAUACAAUUAUUAAAAUAUACUUCCGUUCACGAUAAAUGAUUAAAUCAAUAUUUAAACAUAGUAAAGAUUUAAAUGACAAUAAUCUCGUCUUUAUGAAUUAUCCUUAUCUCUGCAUGUGCAUAAUAAUUACACUUCACUCACUCGAUAUCAACUAUUGUAUCGAUCGAUAGAUUGGUUUGAGCACAUUUAAUGAACAAAAAUUAAGACAAUCAGAAAAGUGGAAUAAAACGAGAGCCAAGUUAACCCUGUUUGCAAGCCAAAAAAGUCAAUAAGUGGGAUCAAGUUGCUUAUACAGGAUACAAUGUAAAUACUCUGAUCAUGAUCAGUGGGAUGGUGAUAAAAGGAUGAUACUGAUGAAGAUGAAAUGAAGUAAACAAUAAACAAAAACAACAACAAAAAAUGGAGAAAGCCAAACAAAAACGCUAAACACAUAAUCUAAAUUGGGUUUAAAGAGGUUGGCUGAAUCAAAAGGAACAUAAAAAAGGGAAAAAGGAAAAUGAUGGUUAAGAGAUUGCUCUUAAAAUGAUGAGAAAAAAACAGGCCAAAAAAGACGAGUAUGAAAAGAUGAGGAUAACCGUUAAUGCAUUUUUUCUUCGCCUCUGAUAAUCUUAAAACUUGUGCCUUCUCUUUCAUUUCUCCUGAUGAUCAAUAACAUCAAUUGUUUCUCAUCAUCUCAAUAUAUGAUUAUUAUUUUGCUCUCGAUGCAAUAAUUGAUCAACCUCCCUGCUAAACGCUUAAUCAAUUGUUGUAGAAGAAAAGGAUGGAAAUUACAUUACAAGAAUCAAUCAAGUCACCCUAAUGAAUUAAAUGAAGCUUUACGAGUUAAUCUAGAGUAAUAUUGCGAUGAAAAAAGACGGAGAUCUGAAAAAGUGAAUCAAGAAAAAACUAUCUACAUCAACAUAAUUAUCGCCAAUUGAUUAAGAUCUGGUUAAUUGUUAAUUAACAGUUUAAUGGAUAAAUAAUAUCUCAAUCAUAAACUAAUGGCAAUUAAGCAUCAAGUUUGCUGAGAUGAUUUUUAAUAAUCUCAGCUCAAGUUUUUUGCUCUCAUUUUACCUGCUUUAGAUAAUAAUAAUGUGAUUAAGAGCUAAACAGAUCUUAAAUUUCAUCCUGUUGUUAAGAUCAAGUCAAGUUUAAUCAAGAUGCAGUGAUGCAGGAAAGUCAUCCGUAAAUACAUUAAUUCAUAUCAAUUCAUACAUUUUCCCUUUCCUUUUCAAUCUAAAUGCCAUAAAUCUAUUUCAAUGGACUACUUAUAUUAUUAAUAUCAACAAUGAAGAGAGUAACCAACUCCUUUGGUUAAUAAUAAUAAACAUUGAUAGCUCCUUGGAGGCCAUUUUUAAACUUUGUUAUCUUCAAGUACCUUUGACCCAAUGGAGCUGAAACUCGAACAACAAAAGCCAAUUCUAAAAAUUUGCCAACCUGAUUAACUUGGCAAAAUACAAAACCAAGUUGCCUGAAAUGCUGGGAAUCACCAAAUCCUAUUCAAAGUAAAUAUGAAAAAAGGUGUGAAUCCAUCUGAAAACGAAUUGUAAAAGAUGAAAGGAAACAAAAUUGGUAUAAAUUCAAGUUUGAUUGGAUUCAUUGAAUUGGUUAUUGACUUAUUGGAUUAAUGCUGUUGAACAGAAUGACAACAGUUUGGCUGUGAUAUGAUCAACAAGGACAAGAUAAUUAAUCUGAUUGACCUGAAACCAACGGGAGGAAGAAUCAACAAUGGAUCAAUUUUAUUGUUUAAUCAAAGGCCUAAAAUAACUGCUGAAAAACGAUGAUAAUAUAUUUUCAACUCCCAAUGAUACUAAUAAUAAUACAAAAAUGAUUUUCAACGAAACAAAUUUCAAUCAACAACAACAAAGAAACCAAUUCUCAAGUUUAUCAAAUGUUGUUUUUGUUGUUCAAUAAUAAAUCAAAUGUCCAGUUUAAUGUGAAACUGUAAACUCAUUUUUAUCAACGGAAAGUUUCACCAAAAUUGGUUUCAUUGUAAAGUUGAAAAUUGGGAAACAUUUCACUUUCAUCCAAAAAAAGAUGAUUAAUGGUCAUAUUAAUGGAAAGCGCUUUCAAAGUUAAAUUUACUCUAAUUAUUUUAAUUACCUUGCGAUGUGAUCUUGUGAGUCCAUUUGCAUGAUUAAUAAACCAGCAAAUGAAAAGCCUUUCAAACGAUUC